AUUCGGAUUCGCCUUAUAAAUAGGCGGCGAACUUUGUCUGAAAAAGAAGGCAACAGAGCGUGUUCAAUCUGUUCUCUUUCAAGCAGGAACAGCGGAAGACCUGAGCAACUUAUACAUCAUGAAGGCUUUCAUCAUUAUCCUCCUCAUUGGCAUUGUGGCCUCAAGUUAAAGCCCAGUCAUGAAGACAAUGGUAAAGCUGUGGCUUCAGAAAACGAUGACUCUAAAAUCAAGCUGAAAAGAAUGGCCGAUUCUAUGACGAGAACUUUCCACGCUCAACUAGCAUCGCUUUCGACAGCGCAGCGAAAACGAGCCCUGGCCGCUAUAGAGAACAUUGCCACUAAACUGUCCGACGAAGACAGCGACGAAUACUUCGUCUGGUCCAUUAUUAUGGCUGGAGUAACCGCUAUGAUAACAAAAGGAGCCGGGAUAGCCUUGGGCGCCGCUCUUGGUUGAAAUAUUUUUGCCUAGAUUGUGUGACUGUACUUUCAUUCAAUGUAGCAUUAAACGGCAAUAUAAUAGCACAUGGCUUCGACGUACAACAAUGAAAAUGUGUCGUUGAAGUUGAUGAGCAGCACUGCACACGCAUUCUCAUAAAUAAAAGAAAAUGUGAUAGCUGCUUCAGA